GUUUCAUAUAACAUUUCCAAGCCAUUAUUUUUUGUCUUUCAACCAACGUGAGAAUGGCACAGGAAUUUGUGGAAACUAAACUUAGGGGAGACAAAGUUACAAUAUUUCUAAAACAAUCGUAUUGCGUGACGGCUAAAGAGGUCUUGUCAAAGUAUACAUUAAAAGCUGGGCAUUUAGAAUUUAUUGACAUAACAGGACGGAGAGAUAUGAGCAGUUUACAGGACUACUUUUUGGAGAUAACUGCGGCUCGGACGCCAUCUCAAUGACAACGCAAUCCAUGAACGUUGAUUGGCUUGAAACUCAUAACCUGUGAAUGUAUUCAACUAUUCAUAUUCAUUUCACUAGCCGUCAUCACUGAAUUCUGAAUCCGUAAUGAAGGUAACAUUUUGCUCAUGCACAGCUUCACAUUCACCUGUCCUCAAGUGAAUUGCCAUGCUCGCAUGGAUAAUUACACAGUAAUUUGAAAUAUUGAUUUCAGUCUGUUACAUAUCCCAUCAACAAUGAAUAGGGCAGCGAUUAUCAAACAAAGAUGUAUAGUAUUAUGCCUAACAUGAUAGAUUUGUUAUAGUCCUCCUAAGUCUAAUUUUUGGUUAAUGCUGGCCAGUUGAUGGCCAUUAUGAGGAUUCCGCAUCUCAUGAAGAACUUUACAUGGCCUAAGAAAUGCUGGUUCUGCUUUUGCGAUUCUUCAUUAUAUUUUGCUGUGUGUGUGUGUGUGUGUCCCACGGGUGUUAAUCGGUGAGGAAUGUGUGGGAGGGUGCAGUGACGUGACAGAGCUGAAUGAGUGGGAAACUGGAGUGGAUGCUGCAGUCCAUUGGCGCUCUGCAGUGAUGCACACACACUACACCAGGCCCCCAGACUGGGUGGAGCCGAGGUGGUUCAGGAGGCUGGAGACCAGAGUUCAGGGACCAGAGAACCACACCACCUGCUGGCCAAACAGGUCCUCUACAACCACCUUGGGACAACACAUCGCCUAAGGCCCUAAUGUAGAUUUAAAUAAUAUUUCUGUCCUUUUAGUUGACCCUUUUUGGCUCAGGAUUGCCAGAUGCAAAACUUCUGUAUAUUUUCUUUGUCAUAAGCUUACACCAAGAUACAGUGUAUGGAUAUUCUUCUCCAAUAACUGAAUAAAAAAUGCAUGGGUUGAAUUGUUGGUAGCCUCGGUCCAGCCCUCCCCCUUCAGAGCAAAUGUGAGAUUAGGGAGUCUGGCAACGCAAGAUUAGAUUGUUUGCAAUGCAUGUGUCAUACGUAGUAUACAAGGCAGAAGGGAGUGAAGAGUGAAACAAGCUAUUUUACCUGCAUCAAGGUAUCCCUCAGUCUCUGUGCUUCUAUGAUUUUCAUUUAUUAGAUGAAAUAAAAUGCAUCACGUCACUGCACCCUGCCAGACGACCAACAUGCGGAUUGGUCGUCUGGCAAUUCUGGGCUGGUCGAAAUUCACAAAAAAAAUAUAUAUAUAUAUUUUUUUUUUGGGGGGGUGAAUUUCGACCAGCCCAGAAUUGCCAGAUGACCAAUCCGCCCAUGGCAGCAGUUGACUGACAGCUCAACUGGAUCUCUCUCUCUCUCUCUCUCAUAUAUAUAUAUAUAUAUAUAUACAUUUGAACUCAGUUUUUCACAAUUCCUGACAUUUAAUCCUAGUACAAAUUCCCUGUCUUAGGUCAGUUAGGAUCACCACUUUAUUUUUAGAAUG